CAUUUUUAUUGUGCAUUUACAGUUCAGAUGAGAAUGGAAGGCAAUGCAUGUUACACUUGGCAAAGUAAUGGCUUUUGAGACCUCACCUGGAUUACUUUGCAUAGUUUAGGGAAGGAUCAAAAUGUUCAUCAACUUACUCAAGCUAUGGUACAACUCUAAAGCAGAUGGCUCUAAACUCAAGCCUUCUAGCUGAAAGGUUUUGAGGGCUCUCAGCAGAACAGUAUCCUCGACCCCAGGACAGAAGCUGGAAUAGAUUAAGU